AGAGUUUGAUCAUGGCUCAGGACGAACGCUGGCGGCGUGCCUAACACAUGCAAGUCGAGCGAUGAAAUCCUUCGGGAUGGAUUAGCGGCGGACGGGUGAGUAACACGUGGGUAACCUGCCUCAAAGAGGGGGAUAGCCUCCCGAAAGGGAGAUUAAUACCGCAUAAUAUUAGAUUUUCGCAUGAAGAACUAAUUAAAGGAGCAAUCCGCUUUGAGAUGGACCCGCGGCGCAUUAGCUAGUUGGUGAGGUAAAGGCUCACCAAGGCGACGAUGCGUAGCCGACCUGAGAGGGUGAUCGGCCACAUUGGAACUGAGACACGGUCCAGACUCCUACGGGAGGCAGCAGUGGGGAAUAUUGCACAAUGGGCGAAAGCCUGAUGCAGCAACGCCGCGUGAGUGAUGAAGGCCUUCGGGUUGUAAAGCUCUGUCUUUGGGGACGAUAAUGACGGUACCCAAGGAGGAAGCCACGGCUAACUACGUGCCAGCAGCCGCGGUAAUACGUAGGUGGCGAGCGUUGUCCGGAUUUACUGGGCGUAAAGGAUGCGUAGGUGGAUGCUUAAGUCAGAUGUGAAAUACCCGAGCUUAACUUGGGUGCUGCAUUUGAAACUGGACAUCUAGAGUGCAGGAGAGGUAAGUGGAAUUCCUAGUGUAGCGGUGAAAUGCGUAGAGAUUAGGAAGAACACCAGUGGCGAAGGCGACUUACUGGACUGUAACUGACACUGAGGCAUGAAAGCGUGGGUAGCAAACAGGAUUAGAUACCCUGGUAGUCCACGCCGUAAACGAUGAGUACUAGGUGUAGGGGGGUCCAACCUUCUGUGCCGCAGUUAACACAAUAAGUACUCCGCCUGGGAAGUACGAUCGCAAGAUUAAAACUCAAAGGAAUUGACGG
rnacentral:rRNA from 1 species